GACGAACGCUGGCGGCGUGCUUAACACAUGCAAGUCGAACGGAAAGGCCCGGCUUUUGUGGGGUGCUCGAGUGGCGAACGGGUGAGUAACACGUGAGUAACCUGCCCUUGACUUUGGGAUAACUUCAGGAAACUGGGGCUAAUACCGGAUAGGAGCUCCUGCUGCAUGGUGGGGGUUGGAAAGUUUCGGCGGUUGGGGAUGGACUCGCGGCUUAUCAGCUUGUUGGUGGGGUAGUGGCUUACCAAGGCUUUGACGGGUAGCCGGCCUGAGAGGGUGACCGGCCACAUUGGGCCUGAGAUACGGACCAGACUCCUACGGGCGGCAGCAGUGGGGAAUAUUGCACAAUGGGCGGAAGCCUGAUGCAGCAACGCCGCGUGCGGGAUGACGGCCUUCGGGUUGUAAACCGCUUUCGCCUGUGACGAAGCGUGAGUGACGGUAAUGGGUAAAGAAGCACCGGCUAACUACGUG
rnacentral:rRNA from 1 species